rnacentral:lncRNA from 1 species
GCCUCGCAGCGCUGCGGGGCAAGGACAGGGCUCGCGGACCUGCUCCCAGUGUGCCCAGUGUCCCCAGCACAGCGCGCGCUGGGAGGGAGCCGGCUGGGGAGCCAGGUGGGGAGGGCUUAGUGAGAGACAAUCUCAGGGUCUGCGAGCGCCGGAGCAGAGACAGCCGGAAGAAGAGAUGCUGACGAGCAGCACAGAGCCGCGAGGAGCACGCCGUAAACAGCCCAGCUGCAAUGCAGGAGCCGGGCAGGCGCUGCUUUGUGCGCUCCAGCCGCUCCGCCAGGAACGGACCCAAACCUACGUGGGCCUCGGUGAGGAGGCGGCGCGGAGCCGGGCUCCCAACAGCCACAUCUGGAAGGGAUCAGCCGGCGGCUGCCGCCGAGAGCCAUCCCCAGUGCCGAGCCCCACGCCAGGCCAAGGAGGAGGCGCUGCCGAUGCGGCCGGCGGAGACGGCCACAGGCAUGUGGUGCACAUGGACGCACAGGGGCAGGGCAUGCACACACAUGCACACGGUGCACAAGGAUGCACAGGGAUGCACAGGGGCAGGGCAUGCACACAGUGCACAAGGAUACACGUGGAUGUGCAGGGGCAGGGCAUGCACACGGUGCACAAGGACGCACAUGGAUGCACAGGGGCAGGGCAUGCACACACAUGCACACGGUGCACAAGGAUGCACAGGGAUGUGCAGGGGUACAUGAUACCCAGGGAGGCUGAUGCAUACAUGCACACGGGGUGCACAUGGCUGCACACGGGCACAUGCGUGCACACACGUGCACAGGGGCACACAGGCAGGCUGGCAGAGCAGAGCCAGUGCAGAGCAGCCAGCCGGGGGCACAGAGGGCAGCAGAGAGAGAGGCAGCGCCCACGGUGGCUGCACACUGACCCCAACCUGCUCUGUCUCGGGCUGAUUUGGGCCAAUGCAGAGCACAGAGCCAGGGUCCCAGCAGCCCCAGCACCCAGGGCGCAGCAGCCCCGCCACCACCUCGAUGCCCUCUGCGAGGGCCCAGCUCUCACCCGGCGGCCGCAGCGACCUUGCUGGCAGGGCCCAAGGAGACGUGGGCAGAGCGGGCACUCCCCCACCAGCCGCUCACCCCCAGCGUGCCAGCACCGUGCUCCCCCAGCCGUGCGGCUCGCCCCGGGCACGGCAUCCAUCCGUCACUGGUGCUGGAGCAGCAGGCUGUGCCGAGGCCGGCACUGCGUCCCUGACUUCCCAUUUUUCAGGCUGAUUGCUCCUGUCGCUGCAGAGCCCGGUGUUAAACACCUCAUUUUCUACUCCCGUAUUGAGUUGGAAAAUACUAUUAACAUUUCAUUACAGCUUAAAGAUCCCUCUCAGCCUGGCACGAGGAGCCGACCCGCCGGCGGCAUCGGGCCCUUGCCGGGCAGGCUGUGCUGCCUGCAGCCCUCAGGGCGAGGAGGGCCAGGAAAGCAAGUCCUGCUCGUGUCCCCACUGCAGGCAGGACGGUGAUCGGGGCAGAGGUGGGUGCUGGUGCUGCUCACCAGCUCGGUGACCGGCCUGGCACAGCACAGCCUCCCGGCACUCUCGUCUGGAGCAGUGGAACAAAGCAGGGAUGGAGCCACGGGGCAGCGGUGUCCGAGCAGAGCACAAGCAGUUUUUGAUUCCCAACCCCUUUUCCUCACCUGCAGGAGCCUGGCCCAGCAGUAACACAGAGCAGCCACUAAAUAUCAGCAAAUUCACUCUUUAGUACUCUCCCGACGGUGCUCCGAACGCUUGUGAAAGGCACCUUUAGCCGCCCAGCGUGGCAAAGCGAGUGCGGAGUGGGUUUGUGGUGAGCGCCCAGCAAGAGGGACAGGAGCCCCAGACCUCGGGCACAGCCUGCUCCCAAAACCUGCACCAGCAGGAAGAGCA